GGCCCAGUGGCCUAAUGGAUAAGACACCGGCCUUCAAAGCUGGGUAUUGUGGGUUCAAGUCCCACCUGGGUUG
rnacentral:tRNA from 1 species